rnacentral:rRNA from 1 species
GGGGAAUAUUGCACAAUGGGGGAAACCCUGAUGCAGCGACGCCGCGUGAGCGAAGAAGGCCUUCGGGUCGUAAAGCUCUGUCCUAAGGGAAGAAGAGGACGGUACCUUAGGAGGAAGCCCCGGCUAACUACGUGCCAGCAGCCGCGGUAAUACGUAGGGGGCGAGCGUUAUCCGGAAUUACUGGGCGUAAAGGGUGCGUAGGCGGCUUUCUAAGUCAGAUGUGAAAGAGUACGGCUUAACCGUAUUAAGCAUUUGAAACUAGAGAGCUUGAGUGCAGGAGAGGAGAGUGGAAUUCCUAGUGUAGCGGUGAAAUGCGUAGAUAUUAGGAGGAACACCAGUGGCGAAGGCGACUCUCUGGACUGUAACUGACGCUGAGGCACGAAAGCGUGGGGAGCAAAC